GACAAAAGGGGUUGCUCUGAUGGUAAGCAAUCCCCACUUCCAACCGAGAGGUUGUGAGUUCGAGUCUCCCCAAAAGCAAAGUGGGAAGUUCUUGGAGGGAAGGAUGCCGGGGGUCUAUUUGGAAACAGUCUCUCUGCCCAAGGGUAGAGGUAAGGUCUGUGUACAUACUACCCUCCCCAGGCCCCACUAAGUGGGAUUAUACUGGGUUCUUGUUGUUGUAUAUACAUACUUCUGUUUCGUUUUGACAUGUCCCUUCAAUC
rnacentral:lncRNA from 1 species